rnacentral:rRNA from 1 species
AUGGCGUCGCAGGCGAUCGAGGUGAACAGGGAGGGGGCGGAGGUGUACCACGGCGCGGCGCUGUGCGCCGAGAAGGCGGUGGAGCUGCUGGCUGAGACCAACAUGCCACUGGGCCUGCUGCCGCUGGCGGACAUCGAGGAGGUCGGCUACAACCGCUCCACGGGCUUCGUGUGGCUGCGCCAGAAGAAGGCGCUCACGCACACCUUCAAGCAGAUCGGGAGGCUGGUCUCGUAUGCCACCGAGGUGACGGCCUUCGUCCAGGACCGCAAGAUGAAGCGCAUCACGGGGGUCAAGAGCAAGGAGCUCCUCAUCUGGGUCACUGUCUGCGCCAUGUACAUCGACAAGAAUGACCACUCAAAGAUCAGUUUCAAAACGCCCACCGGACUGGGAAGGUCCUUCCCCGUCUCCGCCUAUGGGAAGGAGGAGGACGACUUCAAGCCCAAGCAGGCCGCCGUGGCCAAAUAA